rnacentral:misc_RNA from 1 species
GGGAAGAGGAAGGUGAAGGAGAUGCUGAUGGGUGAACAAGAUAGGGGUGUGUUUGAGAUUUGUGGAAUUGGGGGUAGUGGCAAAACUACCUUGGCUAAAGAGAUUUGUAAAGAUGAUCAAGUUAAAAGUUAUUUCAAGGACAAGAUUUUCUUUUUCACUGUCUCUCAAUCUCCAAAUGUGGAGCAAUUAAGGAAAAUGAUUUGGGAAAAGAUAUCAGGGUGUAAUCUCCAUGGUUAUGGAUACGGGGAGAUGUUUCCCCAGUGGAACCUACAGUACCAAUGGAAUACGAAAUCUGCAUCCCCGGUACUCUUGAUUCUUGAUGAUGUGUGGUCUGCAUCUGUUCUAGAGCCACUAGUUUUCAAGAUCCCCGGAUGCAAGAUCCUAGUUGUAUCGCGCAUCAAGUUUCCUCCAUCGAUCAUUGACUGUGUUUAUGAUUUAGAGCUGUUAAGGGAAGAUGAAGCUAUGUCCUUAUUUUGCCAUUUUGCUUUUGGACACAAUUCCUUUCCGCGUGGUUUCAGCCAAAAGCUUGUCAAAGAGAUUGUGGAUGAAUGUGAAGGGCUUCCUUUGGCUCUUAAGGUCAUUGGAUCUUCAUUGAAGGGAAAACCUGAGAUGUUAUGGACAAGUGCAAAAAAUAGAUUAUCACGAUGCCAACCUGUCUGUGAGUCUCAUGAACUGCAGUUGCUUGAGCGAAUGAAAUUGAGUAUUGACUGUUUGCCUGAGAAGGUGCGAGAGUGUUUCCUGGACUUGGGUGCUUUCCCAGAAGACAAAAGGAUUCCUCUCGAUGUUCUAAUUAACAUGUGGGUGGAGCUACAUGAUAUUGAUGAGGAGGAGGCUUUUCACAUUCUUGUUGAACUUUCAGACAAAAAUCUCCUAAAUCUAGUCAAAGAUGCACGAGCUGGGGACAUGUAUACAAGUUACUAUGAGAUAUCGGUGUUUCAGCAUGAUGUAUUACGAGACCUAGCAAUUCAUAUGAGCAACCGUGAUGAUAUAAAUAAGAGAAAGCGAUUGGUUAUGCCGCGAAGAGACACAAGCUUCCCAAGAGAAUGGGAAAGAAAUGUGGACGAACCUUUCCAUGCACGAGUCAUCUCUGUGCAUACAGAUGAAAUGAGAGAAAUGGACUGGUUCAGAAUGGAUUGCCCGAAAGUUGAAGUACUGAUUCUCAACUUUGCCUCAUCUGAAUACUUCUUACCUCCUUUUCUGGAGAACAUGCCAAAGCUAAGGGCAUUGAUAAUCAUAAACUAUAGUGCUGGCAAUGCCGUUCUUCAUAACAUGUCUGUAUUCAGUCAUUUAACCAACUUGAGAAGCCUUUGGUUCGAGAAGAUAUCCAUCACUCACUUAUCUGACUCCACAAAUCCUCUCAAUAACCUGCGAAAGAUAUCUCUAGUGCUUUGUGACAUGAAAAACAGCUUAGAUGAGUCAGAUGUAGACCUCCCUGGUUUGUUCCCACAGCUCUCGGAGUUCACAAUGGAUCACUGCAUCAACUUCAACAAGCUACCAUCAAGCAUUUGCCGGUUGCAUAAGCUCAACAGCCUUAGCAUCACUAAUUGUGAUAGUCUUUAUGAACUUCCAUCUGAUUUAGGUGAAUUACAAACUCUACAAGUUCUAAGGAUAUAUGCCUGCCCACAUCUGAAAAGGCUUCCCCCGGGAAUUGGUCAUUUGGUAAAGCUGAAGUACCUUGACAUUUCACAAUGUGUUGGUUUGAGAUGUCUCCCUGAAGCAAUUGGUUGCUGUAGAAACUUAGAGAAGAUCGAUAUGAGGGAGUGCCCUCAAAUCGACAGUUUGCCUAGCGCUCUAUCCUUUCUUGAAUCAUUACGUUGUGUUAUCUGUGACGAUGAAGUUUUUUGUCAAUGGAAAGACGUUGAGAAGGCUGUACCAGGUCUCUGCGUACAGGUUGCCGAGGAGUUCCAUACUCUUGACUGGCUAUCUCAGUAAUCAAAGUUUUCAAUUCCCUUUACGUUCGGCUUCUUUUGUGUAAAUAUAGCAAGGCUCAGUUAAUUUUCCAGUUCUGUAUUUUCCCCUUUACAUGGGGUUCCUUAUAUCUCUUGUAAAUAAUAUAUAUAGCUACAUGUAA